rnacentral:pre_miRNA from 1 species
UCUUAUGGAUGAGCAAAGAAAGUGGUUUCUUGAGAUGGAAUCCACUCAUGGUGAAGAUGCUGUGAG